AAUGAACGUUGGCGGCGUGGAUUAGGCAUGCAAGUCGAGCGCGAUGAGUUUGGUAGCUUGCUAUUGAACUCGGAAAGCGGCGAAAGGGAGAGUAACGCGUAGUUACGUGCCCUAGGGUUCGGAAUAGCCACGGGAAACUGUGGGUUAUGCCUAAUAACAUCUCCGGAUCAAAGGUGCGAUUCCUCCCUGGGAGCGGACUGAGUCCUACUAGCUAGUUGGCGGGGUAAUGGCCCACCAAGGCAACAAUGGGUAGCGGGUGGGAGAGCAUGACCCGUCUCACUGGGACUGAGACACUGCCCAGACACCUACGGGUGGCUGCAGUCGAGAAUCUUCGGCAAUGGGCGAAAGCCUGACCGAGCGACGCCGCGUGCGGGAUGAAGGCCCUCGGGUUGUAAACCGCUGUCGUAGGGGAGGAAGGCUCUGCGAAGAACAGGGUUUGACCUAUCCUAGGAGGAAGUACGGGCUAAGUUCGUGCCAGCAGCCGCCGUAA
rnacentral:rRNA from 1 species